rnacentral:rRNA from 1 species
AACGAACGCUGGCGGCAUGCCUAACACAUGCAAGUCGAACGAGACCUUCGGGUCUAGUGGCGCACGGGUGCGUAACGCGUGGGAACCUGCCCUUAGGUUCGGAAUAACUCCCCGAAAGGGGUGCUAAUACCGGAUAAUGUCUUCGGACCAAAGAUUUAUCGCCUUUGGAUGGGCCCGCGUUGGAUUAGCUAGUUGGUAGGGUAAAAGCCUACCAAGGCGACGAUCCAUAGCUGGUCUGAGAGGAUGAUCAGCCACACUGGGACUGAGACACGGCCCAGACUCCUACGGAAGGCAGCAGUGGGGAAUAUUGGACAAUGGGCGAAAGCCUAAUCAAGCAAUGCCGCGUGAGUGAUGAAGGCCUUAGGGUUGUAAAGCUCUUUUACCCGGGAUGAUAAUGACAGUACCGGGAGAAUAAGCGCCGGCUAACUCCGUG